CGUACAGGACGAACGCUGGCGGCGUGCCUAACACAUGCAAGUCGAGCGGAGACAUAUCACGGAGAUGAAGUUUCGGAUGGAGUUGAAGAGGUAUGUUUAGCGGCGGACGGGUGAGUAACGCGUGAGCAACCUGUCCUUCACAGGGGAUAACACAGCGAAAGUUGUACUAAUACCGCAUAAGACCACGGCAGGACAUCCUGCAGGGGUCAAAGGAGCAAUCCGGUGAAGGGUGGGCUCGCGUCCGAUUAGAUAGUUGGUGAGGUAACGGCUCACCAAGUCGACGAUCGGUAGCCGACCUGAGAGGGUGAUCGGCCACAUUGGGACUGAGACACGGCCCAAACUCCUACGGGAGGCAGCAGUGGGGAAUAUUGGGCAAUGGGGGGAACCCUGACCCAGCAACGCCGCGUGAGGGAAGAAGGUUUUCGGAUCGUAAACCUCUGUCCUUGGUGAAGAGAGAGAGACGGUAGCCAAGGAGGAAGCCCCGGCUAACUACGUGCCAGCAGCUGC
rnacentral:rRNA from 1 species